rnacentral:rRNA from 1 species
CCCUUAGAUGUUCUGGGCAGCACGCGCGCUACAAUGGUCUUCGCAAACGGAUGCAUUCUCGAAGGAGAAUGCCAAUCUUGGAAUCUAUGCCUUGGUCGGGACAGUUGCUUGCAAUUUUUCGACUCGAACCAGGAAUUCCUUGUAAUCGUGAUUCAUCACAUCACGAUGAAUACGUCCCUGCCCUUUGUACACACCGCCCGUCGCUCCUACCGAUCGAAGAGUUAGGUGAAUUGUUUUGAUCGAUAAGAUUUGACUAUGGUCAACUCUCGUUGUGAAAUUCUGUGAAUCUGACUGUUUAGAGGAAGGAAUAGUCGUAACA